rnacentral:tRNA from 1 species
GCCCGAUUAGCUCAGCUGGUUAGAGCGUCGUACUAAUAUACUCUCUCCGAGAUAUCAAGUCAUGCGAAGGUCAACAGUUCAAUCCUGUUAUUGGGCA